AGCGAGCGGGAAGAGCUCAAAUUUAUAAUCUGGCACCUUCGGUGUCCGAGUUGUAAUCUCUAGAAGUGUUUUCCGCGUUGGACCGCGCAUAAGUCUGUUGGAAUACAGCGGCACAGUGGUGAGACCCCCGUAUGUGGUGCGGACGCCCAGCGCUUUGUGAUACACUUUCGAAGAGUCGAGUUGUUUGGGAAUGCAGCUCAAAUUGGGUGGUAAAUUCCAUCUAAAGCUAAAUAUUGGCGAGAGACCGAUAGCGAACAAGUACCGUGAGGGAAAGAUGAAAAGCACUUUGGAAAGAGAGUUAACAGUACGUGAAAUUGUUGGAAGGGAAACGCUUGAAGUCAGACUUGCUUGCCGGGCAACCGGUUUGCAGGCCAGCAUCAGUUUUCCGGGGUGGAUAAUGGUAGAGAGAAGGUAGCAGUUUCGGCUGUGUUAUAGCUCUCUACUGGAUACACCUUGGGGGACUGAGGAACGCAGUGUGCCUUACGGCGGAGGUUUCGACCUCUUCACACUUAGGAUGCUGGUGGAAUGGCUUUAAACGACCCGUCUUGAA
rnacentral:rRNA from 1 species